GAAGGUAGUUUAUAAGAACCUACUGUGGACUGUGGUUAGUAAGAGAAAUGGAGGAUGUUGUGGAGCAACAGAAUCCAUCACUAGGUGAAGAAGGAGAGAGUGAUAUAGUAACUGAACAGGCUACCUUUGUCCAUGGAGCACCUCAUCAAGAUGAUAAUGGCCCCCCUAAAGUAGAUGCUGAAGUUAAGCUUCUUCAUGAGAAAGUUACCAAGCAAAUAAUCAAAGAAGGUCACGGUGAAAAACCAUCCAAAUAUUCCACAUGCUUUGGUUGAGUAUGAUGAUGGAGAUGAGGAGGUUUUAAAUCUGAGAACUGAACAAUGGGAAAUCCUAGGCGAUGAAAUUCCAACUGAUAUCGACAUAUUCGUUGAUAAGAAAUCUCCUCAACCACGCUCAACUACGGAAGCAUUCCUUCUGACUGCUUGAGGAGUUAAAAGCUUUCCAUUCUGACUAUUCUUUAUUACUUUGGUGCACUGUAAUUAAGCAUACAUGAUGCUUAUCUUGUAGCAUAGAUUGACUGCAUAGUUUCACUCAUAAGUGUCUAAUGAGCUCAGUAAAGUUGUUUGGGGUUAUGUCAUGUAAUUUGUUGCAUGCUAGACUUGAUAAAUUAUGCUUAUAAUUUCAAUAUAGUAACCUACAGAAUUAUUCUUCUGUUUA